rnacentral:rRNA from 1 species
GACAGAGGGGGCAAGCGUUGCUCGGAAUUACUGGGCGUAAAGGGCGCGUAGGCGGGAUGGCAAGUCGGUCGUGAAAUCCUUCGGCUCAACCGAAGAACGUCGAUCGAUACUGCUGUUCUUGAGGGUUGCAGAGGAGACUGGAAUUCCCAGUGUAGAGGUGAAAUUCGUAGAUAUUGGGAAGAACACCGGUGGCGAAGGCGGCUCUCUGGACCGAGACUGACGCUGAGGCGCGAAAGCGUGUGGAGCAAACAGG